GCAAGUAUAGUAUAAAGGUUAAUAUGUCAAAUUUCCAAUUUGAAGCUGCGGGUUUGAUUCCUGCUACUUGUA
rnacentral:tRNA from 1 species